rnacentral:tRNA from 1 species
GGGGUUGUGACUCAGGGGUAGAGUGCUCACCUCUCAAGUGUGAGGCCCUGGGAUCAAUCCUCAGCACCA